rnacentral:rRNA from 1 species
CCCUUAGAUGUUCUGGGCUGCACACGUGCUACACUGGCAGGUUCAGCGAGCUUCAUGCCCUGAUCUGAAAGGAAUGGGAAAUCUUUUCAAAACCUGCCGUGCUUGGGAUAGAUGUUUGCAAUUAUUCAUCUUCAACGAGGAUUGCCUUGUAAGCGCACGUCAUCAGCGUGCAUUGAAUACGACCCUGUAUUCUGUACACACCGCCCGUCGCUUCUACCGAUUGAAGUUUUCGGUGAGUUGACAGGAGGAUUUUUUUGAAACUGGUUCGCCAGUGGAUUUUAGAUCCAAAUGCCGACGAAUCGAUGGCUUUAGAGGAAGGAGAAGUCGUAACA